rnacentral:lncRNA from 1 species
ACCUCAUAAAAUUUAGCAUCGUCAAAUAUUAUAAAGUUACUCAAGGUACUUCUCACAAAACCAAUACAACAGGCACCAAGUCUUAUGAGCCCAUAAAAAUUAUAUAUUGCUAUAGAAUCAGUGUCGUUCGGCACAAAGAAAGUUUACUUUCUCCUAACAGCUAAGCUACUCCACAGAAUCCCUCCUUCAAUAUUCAUAAAUGGAGCAACCUUCACUCGCAAUCUUCGAUCAUCAUAAUUCUUAAAUAAAAAAUGGACUACUUUUUUUUUUUUUAAAUAACUCAAUAUACGCCAUAAAAUCCCCAAAAGAGUUCAUUUCUGUCCCAACGUUAUUUCCACAAAAUCAGUCAAUAUUUAUCUCCAAGCUAGUAACAAUACCCAUCACUGCUGAUUAUCAAGUCCUACUACAACAAACUACAGUUUAUUCCAAACAAAUUUGAUGUUGGUUACAUGAACCCACUUUUGUCAUUCAACUCAGGCCAUCGCUACAUCUAAUGGAAGGUCCGAUACUACACUUAGCUUAUGAACAAGUAAUUCCUACAAAAAUACAAAACUUAAAUCACUAUUGUUUCAUAGAUCCUCAGGCGCUCAAAAGUACAUCAGGCUGGAAGCUUCUUCCCUAAUCAUCUCACUGAAUCCCACAAUGGCUAGUUCUACUUGUGUUCUACUAUCCUGAAAAUCAUUGGUAUAACAACCAUCUUAAAAAGAAGAUACCAUGGCUUCAUAUAUAUCAGUUCCCUUUCUCCUAACCUAAGAUGCUACUCAGAUGAUUGCCGCUAGUUCUUUUGGGAUACCUUAAUUACUGGUAAAUGAAAGGCAUGGUGGCAUUCCCCAGCCUUAAAGUCCUCUAGCUUGCAUACCCUUCAACUGGUCCACAGAUAUCAUCUCUUCUCCUAACUCUGAUGUAAUUUAACCUUGUGCAAUAUUUGUUGUCAUUUAGAGAUCCAAUACAGAAUUGUAUAGGGCCAUUCCUAUUAAAGAAUAAAUUCCUAACUGCUAUUCGAAGAACUUAUUUGACCCUUGUUUGAGCCCCAUUCUUUAAAAACACAUUUUCCCCCAAAUUCAUUUUCAACCACACAUUCUCUCAAUAAAAUAACUUUACAUGUAAACCAAAAAAUUUCCUACUCUUUAA